rnacentral:rRNA from 1 species
UACAGAGGAGCCAAGCGUUGUCCGGAUUGACUGGGCGUAAAGCGCACGCAGGCGGAUGCGCGCGUGGGGUGUGAAAACCCGGAGCUUCAACUCCGGGCCUGCAGUCGAUACGGGCGGACUUGAGUGUUGCAGGGGAGACUGGAAUUCCUGGUGUAGCGGUGAAAUGCGCAGAUAUCAGGAGGAACACCAAUUGCGAAGGCAGCUCGCUGGGACGUUACUGACGCUGAGACGCGAAAGCGUGGG